CCCCCACAUUGGUACUGAGACACGGACCAAACUCCUACGGGAGGCAGCAGUGAGGAAUAUUGGUCAAUGGGCGUAAGCCUGAACCAGCCAAGUCGCGUGAGGGAUGAAGGUUCUAUGGAUCGUAAACCUCUUUUAUAAGGGAAUAAAGUGCGGGACGUGUCCCGUUUUGUAUGUACCUUAUGAAUAAGGAUCGGCUAACUCCGUGCCAGCAGCCGCGGUAAUACGGAGGAUCCGAGCGUUAUCCGGAUUUAUUGGGUUUAAAGGGUGCGUAGGCGGCCUUUUAAGUCAGCGGUGAAAGUCUGUGGCUCAACCAUAGAAUUGCCGUUGAAACUGGGAGGCUUGAGUAUGUUUGAGGCAGGCGGAAUGCGUGGUGUAGCGGUGAAAUGCUUAGAUAUCACGCAGAACCCCGAUUGCGAAGGCAGCCUGCCAAGCCAUGACUGACGCUGAUGCACGAAAGCGUGGGGAUCAAACAGGAUUAGAUACCCUGGUAGUCCACGCA
rnacentral:rRNA from 1 species